AACGAACGCUGGCGGCAGGCCUAACACAUGCAAGUCGAACGCGCGUAGCAAUACGCGAGUGGCGCACGGGUGAGUAACACGUGGGAACCAACCCAGAGGUUCGGAAUAACCGCGGGAAACUGCGGCUAAUACCGGAUAUCCCCUACGGGGGAAAGAUUUAUCGCCUCUGGACGGGCCCGCGUCCGAUUAGCUAGUUGGUGAGGUAAUGGCUCACCAAGGCGACGAUCGGUAGCUGGCUGAGAGGACGACCAGCCACACUGGAACUGAGACACGGUCCAGACUCCUACGGGAGGCAGCAGUGGGGAAUAUUGGGCAAUGGAGGCAACUCUGACCCAGCCAUGCCGCGUGGGUGACGAAGGUCUUCGGAUUGUAAAGCCCUUUCGGCGGGGACGAUGAUGACGGUACCCGCAGAAGAAGCCCCGGCUAACUUCGUGCCAGCCGCCGCAGUAAU
rnacentral:rRNA from 1 species